rnacentral:misc_RNA from 1 species
GUAGAGUUAGAGUGGAAUUAGGGGAAAUCCCUAGAUCGGAUAACAGUGCUUCCACAUCGAGGAGACGCCGGCAGGAUGAGUAGAGUCGUUGUUGAGUGAUUGGAAUAUGGAACUUUUGAUGGAUUUCUAGGGUUAGGGUUUGAAGAGAAGUUACAAAAGGAUUAAUUUCUAGGGUUAGGGUUUUGUGAUUCGGAAGAUUGAUGAACACCAUGACUGUUCG